GACGAACGCUGGCGGCGUGCUUAACACAUGCAAGUCGAACGGAAAGGCCCUGCUUUUGUGGGGUGCUCGAGUGGCGAACGGGUGAGUAACACGUGAGUAACCUGCCCUUGACUUUGGGAUAACUUCAGGAAACUGGGGCUAAUACCGGAUAGGAGCUCCUGCUGCAUGGUGGGGGUUGGAAAGUUUCGGCGGUUGGGGAUGGACUCGCGGCUUAUCAGCUUGUUGGUGGGGUAGUGGCUUACCAAGGUUUUGACGGGUAGCCGGCCUGAGAGGGUGGCCGGCCACAUUGGGACUGAGAUACGGCCCAGACUCCUACGGGAGGCAGCAGUGGGGAAUAUUGCACAAUGGGCGGAAGCCUGAUGCAGCAACGCCGCGUGCGGGAUGACGGCCUUCGGGUUGUAAACCGCUUUCGCCUGUGACGAAGCGUGAGUGACGGUAAUGGGUAAAGAAGCACCGGCUAACUACGUG
rnacentral:rRNA from 1 species